GGUGCCGUAGCGUAGUGGCARCGYGACUCUCUGUCAAAGAGUGGGACNUGAGUUCGAUACUCAACGGCACCGCCA
rnacentral:tRNA from 1 species